GGGUUGUGAGGUUAAGUGACUAAGCGUACACGGUGGAUGCCUAGGCAGUCAGAGGCGAUGAAGGGCGUGCUAAUCUGCGAAAAGCGUCGGUAAGGUGAUAUGAACCGUUACAACCGGCGAUACCCGAAUGGGGAAACCCAGUGUGUUUCGACACAUUAUCAUGUCAUGAAUACAUAGUGGCAUGAGGCGAACCGGGGGAACUGAAACAUCUAAGUACCCCGAGGAAAAGAAAUCAACCGAGAUUCCCCCAGUAGCGGCGAGCGAACGGGGAGGAGCCCAGAACCUGAAUCGGCUUGUGUGUUAGUGGAAGCGUCUGGAAAGUCGCGCAGUAAAGGGUGAUAG
rnacentral:rRNA from 1 species